rnacentral:rRNA from 1 species
ACAGCAGCAGCCGCGGUAAUACGUAGGUGGCAUGCGUUGUCCGGAAUUAUUGGGCGUAAAGGGCUCGCAGGCGGUUUCUUAAGCCUGAUGUGAAAGCCCCCGGCUCGACCGGGGAGGGUCAUUGGAAACUGGGAAACUUGAGUGCAGAAGAGGAGAGUGGAAUUCCACGUGUAGCGGUGAAAUGCGUAGAGAUGUGGAGGAACACCAGUGGCGAAGGCGACUCUCUGGUCUGUAACUGACGCUGAGGAGCGAAAGCGUGGGGAGCGAACAGGAUUAGAUACCCCUGUAGUCCCUGUCUCUUAUAC